rnacentral:piRNA from 1 species
UGUGUUCCUACCCGGGAAGGGAGAGU